UGGAAACAUUUCUGCACAAACUAGAUUCUGGACACCAGUGUGCGGAAAUGCUUCUGCU
rnacentral:pre_miRNA from 1 species